GAUGAACGCUGGCGGCGUGCCUAAUACAUGCAAGUCGAGCGAACAGACGAGGAGCUUGCUCCUUUGACGUUAGCGGCGGACGGGUGAGUAACACGUGGGUAACCUACCUAUAAGACUGGGAUAACUUCGGGAAACCGGAGCUAAUACCGGAUAAUAUUUCGAACCGCAUGGUUCGAUAGUGAAAGAUGGCUCUGCUAUCACUUAUAGAUGGACCUGCGCCGUAUUAGCUAGUUGGUAAGGUAACGGCUUACCAAGGCAACGAUACGUAGCCGACCUGAGAGGGUGAUCGGCCACACUGGAACUGAGACACGGUCCAGACUCCUACGGGAGGCAGCAGUAGGGAAUCUUCCGCAAUGGGCGAAAGCCUGACGGAGCAACGCCGCGUGAGUGAUGAAGGUCUUCGGAUCGUAAAACUCUGUUAUUAGGGAAGAACAAACGUGUAAGUAACUGUGCACAUCUUGACGGUACCUAAUCAGAAAGCCACGGCUAACUACGUG
rnacentral:rRNA from 1 species